rnacentral:misc_RNA from 1 species
GCAAACUUGGUCAUUUAGAGGAAGUAAAAGUCGUAACAAGGUUUCCGUAGGUGAACCUGCGGAAGGAUCAUUAACAAAUCCUUUAUGUAUGUGUAAUGUGUGUUCUCAUCACAUUUACAUAUAUUUGUUCCGUGUGCAUUCAUGUGAUGUACACUGUGACAUUUCUACGAAUCAUCUGAUUGGUUUAAAUGAAUGCAUAAUAAUCAACUUUUAACAAUGGAUCUCUAGGCUCUUGCAUCGAUGAAGAACGCAGC